rnacentral:rRNA from 1 species
AUACGUAGGGAGCGAGCGUUGUCCGGAAUUACUGGGUGUAAAGGGAGCGUAGGCGGGAGUGCAAGUCAGAUGUGAAAUACAUGGGCUCAACCCAUGGGCUGCAUUUGAAACUGCAUUUCUUGAGUGAAGUAGAGGUAAGCGGAAUUCCUGGUGUAGCGGUGAAAUGCGUAGAGAUCGGGAGGAACACCAGUGGCGAAGGCGGGUAACUGGACUGCAACUGACGCUGAGGCGCGAAAGUGUGGGGAGCAAACAGGAUUAGAUACCCUGGUAGUCCACACUGUAAACGAUGAAUGCUAGGUGUAAGAGGUAUCGACCCCUUUUGUGCCGCAGUCAACACAAUAAGCAUUCCGCCUGGGGAGUACGGCCGCAAGGUUGAAACUCAAAGGAAUUGACGGGG